AUUGAACGCUGGCGGCAGGCCUAACACAUGCAAGUCGAGCGGAGCGGCGGACGGGUGAGUAAUGCAUAGGAAUCUGCCUGGUAGUGGGGGAUAACGUCCGGAAACGGGAGCUAAUACCGCAUACUAUGAGAUGAGCCUAGGUCGGAUUAGCUAGUGGGUGGGGGAAAGGCCGACCAAGGCGACGGUCCGGAGCUGGUCUGAGAGGAUGAUCAGCCACACUGGAACGUAGACAAGGUCCAGACUCCUACGGGAGGCAGCAGUGGGGAAUAUUGGACAAUGGGCGCAAGCCUGAUCCAGCCAUACCGCGUGUGUGAAGAAGGCCUUCGGGUUGUAAAGCCCUUUUGUUGGGAAAGCGGUACCCAAAGAAUAAGCACCGGCUAACUUCGUGCCAGCAGCCGCGGUAAUAC
rnacentral:rRNA from 1 species